rnacentral:rRNA from 1 species
GGAAGUGAGCGAGUCUAGGGAGGAUAGGUUCUAGGUCUACGCGAGUGGUGGCAGGACGGCAAGGGGUGGCAGCAGGCGUAGGUUCGGCGGGGCGGCACGAGGGAUGGCCUGACAGCUCAGGUGGCGUCGGGCAGAGGGUUGGCGGCGUGGCGGAGGGGAGGCAGGGCGGCACAGGGGACGUAGUGGUGGCGUGACAACACACGGGACGGCGGGCCGGCACGGGGUGCGACGUGACGGGAUAGCACGGGGGAGAAGAAGGGGAGCAUAUGGAGGUCGUACCAGCACUCAGCACUGCCGCUACGCGCUGGGUACCACUGGAACGGUGCCGACCUCAACUUGCUGGUGGCCUAGAUGGGCUGUAGCAUGGGGGAGGAAGAGAGGGUUGUCCUUGUACAAGAAUGGCCACAAGUCCAAGACUACCAUUAAGUCCGAGAACGUACUUAUUCGAAAAACUCCACUACAAUACAUCAAAUCCGAUGAACGCUCGGAAACCGUUGAUUUUUUCCUCGCAGAUGGUUGCUUUAAGGGGGUAGAGGUCAAGGUGGACGAACAAGUGGUAGAGAACGUCUAAAAGCUUUGUUCGGUUCUUGGUGGUCGAAAUACACGAGACGUUGUUUGUCUAUACAACGAAGGUUUCAUCAAAGUUUCUGAAGUUGUAUAGGUUUGUUCGCCUUACAACGUAUACGAUGAUAACCCUCAUGACUAGGUCUUUGAUUCCGACCACUAUAACUCAGUCCCCGCGGUCAGCUUGACAAAGCGGCCUGUGCGAAACGUGUAACCUGGAGAAAUCUAGGUUUCUGUGUCCAACACGGUGCACACGGAGGGUAGGUUAAUCCACGAGGGGGUCAAAACAACGUUGGCGAGUGCUUCCCCCAGUACUCCCCGAGUAAAGCGCAAUCAGUCUCCUCGUCUCCCUGCCACCUAGAUCGCUGGCCUCCCCGCUGAGUAGUCGCCGCGGACUCUAGACCCUGUCCUCCCCACUGCCGCAGCUAACUUAGGUCCUGCCUAGAGCGAAGGGGAUCCUGAUUACCUAGGAAACCGUCUACAACGUCCGUGGAGAUUACUCUUACUCCCCUUAUACUUCCAAUUCUUCUUCUUUAUUCUUCUCUCCGUUAGAUACACCGAAAUUCAGUUCCAAAUUGAGUUUUUCCGAACCACUUUAACCCUUCGUUCAUAAUGACCUUUGUAUCUUAGUAUUCCUACCCUGACAAACUUUUGAACAACCUGUACACCGGAAAAUUCCACGGGGUGCUCGAGUAACUCAAACAACACUACUUGUGCUUAGUGUAUGAGAAACUCAAGUUUGUGUUCUUGUUUAGGUAGUAGAAGUCGUUUGAGUACUACUUUUCCUAAAAAUUGCACGGUAAACCACUAUCUGAGCACUUCGAAAAAUUCUUCUCACUACUUGUACUAGAAGCGUGGUAGAUGUUCCUUCCCUUGUACCGAGGUUAGCGGGUACAACAGUUCAACGAGUUAUCAACAUCGCUACUUCUGCACCAAUACUAUUUAUCCUGAACCCGCGGGGAACGAAACCGUUAUCAAAACACGGGUCCGUAACCGUUAUAAUGCACUUAGAGCUCAUACAUCCGUACAGAAACCAGGUACUUAAGCAAACCCUACACGUAAACAACCGUACUCGCUACUUCCUCCAACGUUAGAAAGUUCUCUUCUUCUACUACGUUCGUUUAUGUCUUUUUCGUCAUUUCAAAGUCUAGCGAAGUACGGAAGGGUACAAUCGCUAGUAUAUGUACCUAGUAUAAGUAUAGGGCCAGCCGGAGGGUUUACUCGUACAUUAACUAAUAAAGUACAGCUCCUAUACAAAACAAACAGUUUUCCUAAAACUAACCAACCUAUUACAACUGUUCUUGUUAGAGUGAGAACAGGUUGGAAAAAUACCCUUUGUGUGGGUUCAUUAAAACGAUGUAGAGCAGAUAUAUAAAGAAAACGGUUACCUCAUAAUUGUGAGGAACAAAAAAACGAAUUAAACGUACAUCGUUAGAAACGAAAAGGUAAAUCCAAUACAAUUCGAAAAAUAAAAGCGGUGAGUACAAAACAAAAAGUUCUAGGCCUCAAACACGUUGUGGGGAUACGUUGUGUUGAGUAAACUGUCCUUUAACCACGAUUUCGUCGGUCACCCGUCCCUCAACCGCGACUUCGUGGAUCACCGGUUCCUUCGGUUUAAAUUCCACGACUACAAGUUCGUUUGCUUAGAGUUAGUUCGCUCCGAGUUGGUUUACAACUACAACUUGGUGUAGAUAGUAGUAGCGAGUUGCUAACCGACAUCGUUAGUAAGGGAUCGAACGUUCUAGAUUCCCAUGUUUAAGUCAAGGUUUACAACAUGCUGUUCGUGUACCCAUAAAAACGUCGCUUCCACCUACUGCAUCAUCCGUUCAAAUAUGUCACAAAUUUUCCCUAACGUCACGUUGGCCUACCAGCGAGAGGAAGCACUACAACCUCUGUGGUAGUGUCGAUGGUUACUCGGGUUGAAAAGGAAACUUCGUGGAUAGUACCUACUUACAGUGCCUUUUCUCUUACUACAAUUUCGACGUUUACGACCGUAACCACGAGUUCGAGUUCGACUUCCAUGUUGUGGAUCGUACUUGUUCCUACUUCAGUGACCUAACUUGGAUGUUCAACGUUGUGUCUGACGACUUUGAGCACUAGUUGUUUCUCACUCAAAACUCUACCUUCCGUUGCAGAGUAGAGUGUCGGGGGUGAGAAGAUACUACGUGUAUCCUCACGCUGUCGGUCGUAAACCCUCCUGAUCGGUAGUACGCUCAACAAGAAUUUCCCGAGACUUCUGAUACUCAACUACGUACCAUACCUACUCGGAUGUUAGUUCUUCUCGUGGCAGUCGAGGUAGAUACGUUUGUAGGAGCACAAAGCACAAAGUCUGUUGCUACUGUCGGGUUUUUUAGUUUAACAACUACGUUCGUCACCGGGAUCGUGUGUACGGUUCUUGUGAUCCUUCCUUUCCUACCGAUUUCAAGGCAGGCAUUUUUAUGGUUCCGUUUCUUCGUUUUUCAGCUACUUCGACGUUGAUACAUACUCUGCAUAGAAUUCGUACCAUUUGGUAAUUCCUCUAGUGGUGGGUCACUUGUUCACUGUGGAAAACAGUUCUAUCCACCAAAAAUGUAACCUAUGUUCAUUAAGGAACAUACGAAGUUCGGAGCGACCCUAUACUUGCUACCCCAAUACAGUGAUACAUAGCUCUACUUGUUGGAGUGUAGAGUACGUCCUUCGUUAUCCCAACACUUUUUAUGUACAAGAGUCAGGUGCGCCCCUAGGAUGAUUUUAAUCUGGGUAGUUGGAAGGUUUGUGGUCUAGAGUACGGGCUCGAACUUUCCCGGUAGUGUUUCAAGUUCCAAGUUUUUAAACUGGAGGAAAAAAAAAGUGUUUUCAAGUACUAGCGGUAACCUAUCAAGAAACGCGUUUGAACGAAGUGUUCGUCACCUUACAUAAACUGAGUUAGGUAAGUUUUCCUUUUGUUAGAGGAAAGUUCUUCGUACGGUUAUUGGACUAGUGUUUGAAACGUUGAGAGUGUGUUCGCACAUCGCUUAAAUUACAGCUACAACCUAGGAAACGGGCCAACUGGAUCUCCUAAUGGGUUUCGUUUUUAUUGUAUUGAUACUACCCUUCCGUCACUCUCUCAAGUUCGUCAAGUCCUUCGAUGGGUUUACCGAGUAGAGUAGUUGGUGAAGACAAGGGUUAGUCCUUGGCUGACGAAGCCGAUAAUACCGUUGAGGAUAUCAAGAACUACUAUCAUCCCUAUAGGAAACAACCUUCGGGUGAGGAAGACCAUUCACGUUAAGAUUCUCAUGUAUAUUCAACACAAAUGUUGUUUAAGUAUUAAACGUCCGUUUAGUUGGUUCUGUCCACUUGGUUAGUUGGUUUCUAUAAAACGUCGUCCAGACCUUCGUGUUUAAGUACCGAGGUUCCCAAUUUUGAAAACGCACCGCGAAUGAAUCCGUACGAGAGGGUUGACCAGAAUCUCGACCGUCCAAAAGGAGAGUAUAAAGAAGAUGUACGAGAUCUACACUAAGUCUAUUUCUACUUUACGUAGAAAAGAAAGAAACGUUGAAACGAUCUCGGAGAACCAAGCCCGUGGGGCCAUAUAAUCUAGACUAUAAGAACGAGAGUUAGUAUUAAGGCAAGAACUAUAAUAAGUCCAAGAUUAAUUGUACUUGGUAGGCAUUCGUAGAUAAGGAUUAUAUAAAUGGAACACCACAAACACCUUUCGUUCUUUACCACAAGAAAAAACAUCCAUUCAUAGUGUAAGGGUAGUCCAAGUGGUUCGACGAGAUCGGUAGCGGAGACAGGUUCUAUACGUUCUAGGGGUUCUUGUGGAUUUAUCCCUCGACGGAAGAAGCUUCCUCUUCGUUAGAUGUUGGUAUGAGAGAGUUCCCGUUCUUGUUCAUGUAGUUCCGAGGUGGGAGUUUAGACUGAACCGAUAAAGUCCGAAGUUGAAGUCGUUCCAAGAAAAGAGUGAUUGUUAGAAAGUAAUCGUUUCUACCGAAGAAGUUCUCUAUAGUUAUUGUGGUUGUAGUCGACCUCCACGUCUGUUGGUUAAUCGCUCAAUAAAGUUUAGAGGGUAAGAGAAUUACAACAAAUAGUGUAGAGAUCCUUAUGGUUACCUUAACGAGUGUUAACACGAGUAGUCCAAGAGUUGAGCUCUCAUCUUGGACAGAAAUCAACAAGUGCAAGAAGAGUACCGUUACAUGGAAAGGGAAAAGACGUUAGGGAGGAGUUAAAAGUUCAAGUCCCGAUACAUUAAGUACGACAUGUAACAGAUACU